AGCGGGCCAGGCGGUCGCGCGCGGGAUCGGGCUCGCCCGGUGCCCGCGUGAGGAAAGUCCGGGCUCCACAGGGCAGGAUGCUGGCUAACGGCCAGGCGGGGCGACCCGACGGAAAGUGCCGCAGAAAAGAAGACUCCCACCUGCGUGCAGACUCGGCGCGCAAAGGGAAAAGAUGAAACGGUGGUGUAAGAGACCACCAGCGUCGCGGCGACGCGGCGGCUUGGUAAACCCCAUCCGGAGCAAGCGCGAAUAGGGGCGCGAUAGGCCGGCCCGGCCUGCGCCCGGGUGGCGUGCGAAGAGCGGCGCGGCAACGCGUCCGCCAAGAUAAAUGACCGUCCCCGACAGAACCCGGCUUAUCGGCCCGCUUC
rnacentral:RNase_P_RNA from 1 species